CUAGCAAUUUCAUCCGGCAAAAAUGUUGAGGAAACGAUGUUUGUUAAUACUUCAGUGUGGCUAGAUAUGGUAGUUCUAGACCCUUCAAAGAAUGUGGUUAACGCUCUUUGUUUCAAAUUUCUUACCAUCCCCGGUUAUUGCUGGCAAACUUGGUGUCGGACUCACAUGAUAAGACUGAUCUGAAGUCGAAACGGGCCGGGUCGAAC
rnacentral:sRNA from 1 species